rfam:Colinus virginianus strain Texas jcf7180006215668, whole genome shotgun sequence.
GCCCAGCUAGCCCAGUCAGUAGAGCAUGAGACUCUUAAUCUCAGGGUCAUGGGUUCCUGCCCCAUGCUGGAUG